GGGUUUAAAAACUGAGAUGCUCUUUUCAAAGCCCCUGGUUACUCAAUAAAAACCUUCUCCAUUGUACCUGGGAAUUCCUCUCAAACAGCAAAGUAAUUUCCUAAAUCCAAUCCUUGUCGUUGCAUGAUUUCAAUGGAGAAUCAACAAGAAGCGGAAGUGUUAAUUCGGAAAUUAGAUUCCACAGAAUCAAUGAUUUCAGUGACUAUCGGCAGAGCUAUUACCACUCUACUCAGUUCUCGAACUAAGAAGCUUCAAGACUCCAUUCAUCGCCUCUCUCUCGACUCUACCAACAAAAAGCCUUCUCUCGGUUCACUGGAGGAUUCGCUUUGGUUCUUGCACAAAUACGUUAAAGACGCGAUUGAGAGACACGAGAAAUUGGACCUGAUUCUAGUUCCUAUCACUCAACAUUGUUUGAGGAAUGUAAAUUUGAAGCAUGGAGGACAAGCUAUGACAAUCAUUAACUGGUUAUUUCAAGAUGAGUUUGUUUUCGAAGCUGUUGCUAUGGAUUUGGCUAAUAUUAUCGAGAGGAAAGAGGAUCGGCAUGUUGCACUUGGUUGGUGUAUUCUUGUUCGUGGUUUAGUGGAGUAUGAGAAUUUUACGGAGCAACAUACGCUAAAUGGAAUAAGAGAUAACUAUAAUGCGUUGUUGAAGAUGCUUUGCUCAUGUAUCCCGCGUUUGGUGUGCAUAGUGUGCAAGGGAAGCACUUUGCAGGAUAGACUUGAGUUGCCGUCUCGCCUUUCAGUGUCUGCUGCAGAUUGUAUUUUGUCUAUCACAGAAGCUUUGACAAAAAAGACCAAGGUUGCUAGUAACAAGCCAAAAUCAUUGAAUUCAAAUGCAUCACACCCUAUUAGUUUGGUGUCAACUGCCAUCAAAGAGAAGAAAGUGAAACCAUCUGAAUCAUCAGAAGUGUUUAGUAUUGAAAUGGCUCACUUACUUUGGAAGCAGAUAGAAGUACUUAUCACCCUGUUACAGAGACUUCUUGCUUGGAGCAGCAAAAGUAGGCCUUUACAUGCUAAAGGGGUUGAGCAAGUGCUUAAAUGGUUACAAGAGAUAAAAAGGCACCAUGGUCAUGUUGAAAAUGAGACAGGUGGAAACAUUCUCAAAACAGAAGCCUUGCUAGUGUCUUCAUGCUGGAAGAUUUACAGCACUCUAUUGCACUUGGAAGACCGUAGAUUUUCUCAGCAUUGCGAUGAUUUAUUAAAUCAGUACAUAUCUGGCAUCCAGUAUUAUACAGAUAACCAUACCGAGGGGCAUACAGAGAACAAGGAUGGUGGUCUGGAGACUAGAAAGUUUUUCCUGAGAUGUCUAUGCCUUCUUUUGGGACGUUUAGACACCAAGAAAUUUGAAACCGCGUUGUCAGAAAAUGGUUUGCAAAUAUCCCAAGUUCUUUUGUCACAGCUUCAAUGUGCUGAUGAAGAUGUGGUGGAGGGUGCUGUUUACAUACUUAAAUCAGUCAUAUUGAAACCAAAUUCAUCUGGAAAUGGUCUGACAGACAGUAGACAGAUGGAUGCUGUGCUACCUUUGUUACUGCACCUUCUGGAUGAGCGGGAUGGCACAGCCAGGGCUGUUGUGAUGCUCAUAGCAGAAUGCUGCUCAAUGAGCACUAACAGUAACUGCCUCAAACAAGUUCUAAGCCGCCUUGCUUCUGGAAAUGCUUUGCAGAGGAGGAAUGCCCUUGAUGUUAUAGCGGAACUUGUUUCCAUAUCAUCAAAUUCAGCAAAAAAAAGUUCUCAUUUGGCGUGGCAAGAUAUUGCAAACAACUUGUUAGAAUGCCUUAAUGAUGAAGAAACAAUAAUUCGUGAACUGGCAUCCAACUCACUUUCCAUGAUCGACCCAUCAUUGGUUUUGCCUACAUUGGUUCAGCUUGUGUGCUCAUCAGCAGGGAAGGAAUCAUCUGCUUGUGCUUCCUUUAUUGCCAUGCUCAAAUACCAUAGUUCUAGACCUGAAGUUAUAUGUUUGCUACUUGACUGUCUUAGCAACCUUAACAAGAGUCCAGAUCCUUCAAACACCGCAGGAGAUGUAAGGGAAGGAUCAAAAGUGGACAUUGAUCGAGUACUCAAGUUGAUCCCAGAGUGGUCUAAAACAGUUCAAGACUGGAAUCCCUUAAUCGGACCUUUAAUUGACAAGAUGUUUUCUGAGCCAGCAAACGCUACCAUUGUUCGAUUUUUGAGUUAUAUAAGUGAACAACUGGCAGAAGUUGUAAAUGAAAUCUUCCAUCCUGUUCUUUUGAAGAUGAAGGGACAGAAAGAGAUUGAUGAAGGCUUCAUAUCCAUGUGGGAGAGCAGAACGUAUACAGACGAGGACUCUGUGAAAAUGCAGCAAUCUCUCUUUGAGCACCUUUGUCCACUGCUUAUUAUAAGGCUCCUUCCGCUGAGAGUUUUCAACGACCUCAGUUCAUCUGUUUUGUAUGGUCAAGUUCCCAGUCAAAGCAUUGCUCACGUUUCAGAAUGCGGAGAUGUCAACAUUAUUCAUGAUUGUUUAGCUGCAUUGCUUUUAAAGAGAGCAUUUAAUAAGUAUGAAUUUGAAGACGUAAGAAAACUUGCUGCUGAGCUUUGUGGCCGUAUUCAUCCCCAGGUGCUCUUACCAAUUGUUUCGACUGUAUUAGAACAUGCUGCAGCUUCUCAUGAUGUACUAAAGAUAAAAGCAUGCUUGUUUUCAGUUUGCACUUCUCUCGUGGUUAGAGGCAUGGAUUCAAUUUCUCAUCCUGCUAUUCUGAAAAUAAGAAAAAUGAUAGAAACUAUUCUAUUAUGGCCUUCUUUAGAUGGAGAUGAAGUUUCCAAAGCACAACAUGGUUGCAUUGAUUGUCUGGCACUUAUGAUUUGUGCUAAGCUGCAAGUUCCUGCAUCAUUCAAGGAAUCCUCAAAGAACUUAGGCGCAGCUAGGAAGACCAGUUACUGUGGGAAUGCUGUGUCAGGAAACUGUGUCCUCUUAUAUGUAAUCAAUCUACUUAUAAAUGAUGAAAAUGCACUUGUUUCUGCUUCCAUGUUGGGUAGUGAGAACUCAGCAUUUGAGGCAACAACCACUCUUUCUUUCCGUGUCUGCAUGGCCAAUGUUCUUAUCAGUGCUUGCCAGAAGAUCUCGGACUCUGGCAAGAAGCCUUUUGCUAAAAAAACUGUUCCACAUCUGCUUCAAGCCGUUGAGGGCAUAAUGCAUCCAGACAUCAGAGCUGCUUGCAUCCAGGUUCUGUUUUCAGCUGUUUACCAUCUGAAGUCUGCAGUUCUUCCUUAUUCAUCUGAUCUCCUAAACCUCUCUCUCAAAUUUCUUAGUCGGGGGUCAGAGAAGGAGAGGAUGGCAAGCGCUAAGCUAAUCGCAUCUCUUCUGGCCAGUGAAGAUGUGAUUGUGAAAAGUAUAUCCGGGGGAUUGCUAGAAGCAAGAUCUGUGCUCUCACGCGUAUCCUUUUCAGAUUCUUCACUUGAAUUACAACAAAUAUGCCAAAAAUUGCUGGCAUGCAUAACUUCUCCCUAAGCUCUUGUCGAAGCACUACAGUCAGAAUUGGAAUAGAAAGCUUUUUUGUUUUUGUAUCUCUAUGUGACUUGAUAGAUGUAAGGUUAAUCUCAUCUAUGUUAGUAUUAAUGAGUCAUUCACCUUCACUAGAGUUGGCCCCUCUUGUACAUAAAAUUCCUGUGCUCU